UACGGGGGGGGCAAGCGUUGUUCGGAAUUACUGGGCGUGAAGGGCUCGUAGGCGGCCAACUAAGUCAGACGUGAAAUCCCUCGGCUUAACCGGGGAACUGCAUCUGAUACUGGAUGGCUUGAGUUCGGGAGAGGGAUGCGGAAUUCCAGGUGUAGCGGUGAAAUGCGUAGAUAUCUGGAGGAACACCGGUGGCGAAGGCAGGUCUCUGGGCUAGAACUGACGCUCAUGCACGAAAGCGUGGGGAGCGAACAGG
rnacentral:rRNA from 1 species